CCUACGGGUGGCUGCAGUGGGGAAUAUUGGUCAAUGGGCGCGAGCCUGACCCAGCCACGCCGCGUGAGUGAUGAAUGCCCUCCGGGUGUAAAACUCUUUUUAUAGAGAAGUAAAGUGAGGCACGUCUGCGUUUUUGUAUGUACUUUAUGAAUAAGGAUCGGCUAACUCCGUGCCAGCAGCGGCGGUAAUAUGGAGGAUCCGAGCGUUAUCCGGAUUUAUUGGGUUUAAAGGGAGCGUAGAGGGGUUGUUAAGUCAGUUGUGAAAGUCUGGGGCUCAACCGUAAAAUUGCAAUUGAUACUGGCAGACUUGAGUGCAGUUGAGGUAGGCGGAAUUCGUGGUGUAGCGGUGAAAUGCUUAGAUAUCACGAAGAACACCAAUGGCGAAGGCAGCCUACUAAACUGCCACUGACAUUGAUGCUCGAAAGUGUGGGUAGCAAACAGGAUUAGAUACCCUAGUAGUC
rnacentral:rRNA from 1 species